rnacentral:rRNA from 1 species
UACGGAGGGUGCAAGCGUUAACCGGAUUUACUGGGUUUAAAGGGUGUGUAGGCGGGCUAUUAAGUCAGUGGUGAAAUCUCCGGGCUCAACCCGGAAACUGCCAUUGAUACUAUUAGUCUUGAAUUUUGUUGAGGUAGGCGGAAUAAGUCAUGUAGCGGUGAAAUGCAUAGAUAUGACUUAGAACACCAAUUGCGAAGGCAGCUUGCUAAACAAAUAUUGACGCUGAGGCACGAAAGCGUGGGGAUCAAACAGG